rnacentral:hammerhead_ribozyme from 1 species
AUCUAGCUGAUAAGUCUCAAAUAAGACGAAACGCGCAUUCUGGAU